GACGAACCGAGCGAACGUUAUUCGGAAUUAUUGGGCGUAAAGAGCUUGUAGGUGGCUCGUUGCGUCGGGAGUGAAAACCUGCGGCUUAACCGCAGGCCUGCUUCCGAUACGGGCGAGCUAGAGUUCGGCAGGGGAGACUGGAAUUCCUGGUGUAGCGGUGGAAUGCGCAGAUAUCAGGAGGAACACCGGUGGCGAAGGCGGGUCUCUGGGCCGAUACUGACACUGAGAAGCGAAAGCGUGGGGAGCGAACAGG
rnacentral:rRNA from 1 species